CAUUCGCAGCUUCCUUAAUGUGAUCCAUCUUCAAUAUUUUUUUUUAAACAAUAUUAUCUUGUAGAAUUAGAAUAAAAAUUAGCGGAGUUGACCUUUGACCAGAAAAGCACGAUAUAAACAGAAGAUAUGAUUAUGUGAAGACAUAACUAAUCAACAAAAGUGAAGCCACUUUUAAGAGAACACGAGAAUGGUGUGCCUCAAAUAUAUGAAGCCAUUAAUAGUUGUGUUAUUGCUCAUUUUCACGGCAUCUAAUCUGGUAUUAGGGCAGCGGUGCGCCUUGAAAGGUUAUGAGUGCGGUACAAAUAUAAAUCGUUGUUGUAACGGGCUAUAUUGUAGCACCAGAGGUCGUUGUUGUUUCGCCAUCCGGUGGUGGCCGGACGACUGCUCAAAAUAGCCAAUCAAACAAUGGAGGCCGGCCGGUGUUGGGUGGAUUUCUCUUUUAUCGAUCUUAUAGUUGUUGUAUUACCGAUUUACCGUCAUUUGUCGUAUACGCUCUAUGUUGUUACUCUCUCUGUCUGCCUAGAUGAUAGAAUAUCGUAUGUGGUACGUUAUCCUCAAUAUUGUCUUACUCGUACUUGUUUAAAGUGAUAGGGAUGAUAGUUUGGAAAUAAUGUUUGGUAUAAUUUAGAUCCUUGUUACGAUGGACUAGAA